rnacentral:rRNA from 1 species
AGUGGGGAAUCUUGGACAAUGGGCGCAAGCCUGAUCCAGCCAUGCCGCGUGAGUGAUGAAGGCCUUAGGGUCGUAAAGCUCUUUCGCCAGGGAUGAUAAUGACAGUACCUGGUAAAGAAACCCCGGCUAACUCCGUGCCAGCAGCCGCGGUAAUACGGAGGGGGUUAGCGUUGUUCGGAAUUACUGGGCGUAAAGCGCGCGUAGGCGGGUUGUUAAGUUAGAGGUGAAAUCCCGGGGCUCAACCCCGGAACUGCCUUUAAUACUGGCAACCUAGAGUUCGAGAGAGGUGAGUGGAAUUCCGAGUGUAGAGGUGAAAUUCGUAGAUAUUCGGAGGAACACCAGUGGCGAAGGCGGCUCACUGGCUCGAUACUGACGCUGAGGUGCGAAAGUGUGGGGAGCAAA